CCUACGGGAGUCAGCAGUAGGGAAUCUUCGGCAAUGGGCGAAAGCCUGACCGAGCAACGCCGCGUGAAUGAAGAAGGCCUUCGGGUUGUAAAAUUCUGUUAUAAGGGAAGAAAGGUGAUAGGAGGAAAUGACUAUCAAUUAACGGUACCUUAUGAGAAAGCCACGGCUAACUACGUGCCAGCAGCCACGGUAAUACGGAGGUGGCAAGCGUUAUCCGGAUUUACUGGGUGUAAAGGUAGCGUAGACGGUUAAGUAAUUCUGGAGUGAAAGGCCGGGGCCCAACCCCUGGAGUGCUCUGGAAACUAUUUAACUUGAGUGCAGGAGAGGUAAGCGGAAUUCCGAGUGUAGCGGUGAAAUGCGUAGAUAUUAGGAGGAACACCAGUGGCGAAGGCGGCUUACUGGACUGUAACUGACGUUGAGGCUCGAAAGCGUGGGGAGCAAACAGGAUUAGAUACCCUUGUAGUC
rnacentral:rRNA from 1 species